rnacentral:tRNA from 1 species
GGAGAGGUGGCAGAGCGGUCGAAUGCGGCGGUCUUGAAAACCGUUAAGGGGUUUCCCCUUCCAGGGUUCGAAUCCCUGCCUCUCCGCCA